rnacentral:rRNA from 1 species
GGUGCAUGGUUGUCGUCAGCUCGUGUCGUGAGAUGUUGGUUAAGUCCCGCAACGAGCGCAACCCUCGACCUUAGUUGCCAGCAUUCAGUUGGGCACUCUAAGGUGACUGCCGGCUAAAAGUCGGAGAAAGGUGGGGAUGACGUCAAAUCAUCAUGCCCCUUAUGACCUGGGCUACACACGUGCUACAAUGGGCGGUACAAAGGGUCGCGAACCCGCGAGGGGGAGCCAAUCCCAAAAAGCCGCUCUCAGUUCGGAUUGCAGGCUGCAACUCGCCUGCAUGAAGCCGGAAUCGCUAGUAAUCGCGGAUCAGCAUGCCGCGGUGAAUACGUUCCCGGGCCUU